GGGCCCGUAGCUCAGUGGUAGAGCAGUCGGCUCAUAACCGACUGGCCGCAGGAUCGAUCCCUGCCGGGCCCACCA
rnacentral:tRNA from 1 species